GGGCAAAUAGUGUAGUUGGUUAUCGCGCCCGCUUCGCAUCGCGUUGAAUUACGUAAUUGAUAUGCGGGAGGUGCUGGGUUCAAUUCCCAGUUUGUCCA